rnacentral:rRNA from 1 species
GCACAUUCUGUUCAUUCCAUUCUCAUACACCUCUGUGCACUUUUCAUAGGUUUGGUAUAGAAAAAGGUUCUCUAUGGACUUUUGGACAUGCUGACCUAUGCUUUUACAAACGCUUCAGUUUUAGAAUGUCAUCUGCGUAUAACGCAACAAAUACAACUUUCAGCAACGGAUCUCUUGGCUCUCGCAUCGAUGAAGAACGCAGCGAAAUGCGAUAAGUAAUGUGAAUUGCAGAAUUCAGUGAAUCAUCGAAUCUUUGAACGCAUCUUGCGCCCCUUGGUAUUCCGAGGGGCAUGCCUGUUUGAGUGUCAUGGUAAUCUCAAUACCCCAAAUCUUUGCGGAUGAGGGUGUGUUGGACUUGGAGGUUUUUGCAGGCGAUAAUUUUAUUAUUAUUACCAGCUCCUCUUAAAUGCAUUAGCAGAGAUAAUACUGCUACUCUCCAGUGUGAUAAUUGUCUACACUGUUAGUAGUGCGGUAUAACCAAAGUCUAUGCUUCUAAUCGUCUUCGGACAACUUUUGACAAUCUGACCUCAAAUCAGGUAGGACUACCCGCUGAACUUAAGCAUAUCAAUAAGCGGAGGAAAAGAAACUAACAAGGAUUCCCCUAGUAACUGCGAGUGAAGCGGGAAAAGCUCAAAUUUAAAAUCUGGCAGCCUUUGGUUGUCCGAGUUGUAGUCUGGAGAAGCGUUUUCCGUGCCGGACCGUGUAUAAGUCCCUUGGAAUAGGGCGUCAUAGAGGGUGAGAAUCCCGUCUUUGACACGGACUACCGGUGCUUUGUGAUGCGCUCUCAAAGAGUCGAGUUGUUUGGGAAUGCAGCUCAAAA